AGAACGAACGCUGGCGGCAUGCCUAACACAUGCAAGUCGAACGCUUUUGGGGCUUCGGUCCCAAAGGAGUGGCGCACGGGUGAGUAGCGCGUGGGAACCUGCCCUGUUGUGGGGGAUAACCGAGGGAAACUUCGGCUAAUACCGCAUACGCCCGGGGGAAACUCCGGGGAAAGAUUUAUCGCAGCAGGAGGGGCCCGCGUCGGAUUAGGUAGUUGGUGGGGUAACGGCCCACCAAGCCUGUGAUCCGUAGCUGGUCUGAGAGGAUGAUCAGCCACACUGGGACUGAGACACGGCCCAGACUCCUACGGGAGGCAGCAGUGGGGAAUAUUGGACAAUGGGCGCAAGCCUGAUCCAGCAAUGCCGCGUGAGUGAUGAAGGCCUUCGGGUUGUAAAGCUCUUUCGCACGCGACGAUGAUGACGGUAGCGUGAGAAGAAGCCCGGCUAACUUCGUGUCAGCAGCCGC
rnacentral:rRNA from 1 species